AAUGAACGCUGGCGGCAUGCCUUACACAUGCAAGUCGAACGGCAGCAUGACCUAGCUUGCUAGGUUGAUGGCGAGUGGCGAACGGGUGAGUAAUGCAUCGGAACGUGCCUUUUAGUGGGGGAUAACGUAGCGAAAGUUACGCUAAUACCGCAUAUUCUCUGAGGAGGAAAGCAGGGGACCUUCGGGCCUUGCGCUAGAAGAGCGGCCGAUGUCGGAUUAGCUAGUUGGUGAGGUAAAGGCUCACCAAGGCAACGAUCCGUAGCGGGUCUGAGAGGAUGAUCCGCCACACUGGGACUGAGACACGGCCCAGACUCCUACGGGAGGCAGCAGUGGGGAAUGUUGGACAAUGGGCGCAAGCCUGAUCCAGCCAUGCCGCGUGAGUGAAGAAGGCCUUCGGGUUGUAAAGCUCUUUCGGCUGGGAAGAAAUCGCACCCUCUAAUACAGGGUGUGGAUGACGGUACCAGCAUAAGAAGCACCGGCUAACUACGUG
rnacentral:rRNA from 1 species